rfam:Populus trichocarpa scaffold_11_contig_541, whole genome shotgun sequence.
UCUAAAACUCGAGAUAUGGGCUGAAAACUGAACAGUGUCUGGGUUGUAGGACAUAUUCCGACUUCUCAGUUGUUGCUACCAUUUGAACUCGAAAAUGGCACUUUUAAAUUUGGACUCUUCAUGAAAGUUUUAGGCCUAUGUCUUAGCUUUCUAUA